GGACGAACGCUGGCGGCGUGCUUAACACAUGCAAGUCGAACGGAAAGGCCCUGCUUUUGUGGGGUGCUCGAGUGGCGAACGGGUGAGUAACACGUGAGUAACCUGCCCUUGACUUUGGGAUAACUUCAGGAAACUGGGGCUAAUACCGGAUAGGAGCUCCUGCUGCCUGGUGGGGGUUGGAAAGUUUCGGCGGUUGGGGAUGGACUCGCGGCUUAUCAGCUUGUUGGUGGGGUAGUGGCUUACCAAGGCUUUGACGGGUAGCCGGCCUGAGAGGGUGACCGGCCACAUUGGGACUGAGAUACGGCCCAGACUCCUACGGGAGGCAGCAGUGGGGAAUAUUGCACAAUGGGCGGAAGCCUGAUGCAGCAACGCCGCGUGCGGGAUGACGGCCUUCGGGUUGUAAACCGCUUUCGCCUGUGACGAAGCGUGAGUGACGGUAAUGGGUAAAGAAGCACCGGCUAACUACGUG
rnacentral:rRNA from 1 species